UGCUGACGACCGGCGCACGGGUGCGUAACGCGUAUGCAACCUACCUUUAACUGGGACAUAGCCCCGAGAAAUCGGGAUUAAUAUCCCAUAAUAUCCAGAAAACGCAUGUUUUCUGGAUUAAAGUUCCGGCGGUUAAAGAUGGGCAUGCGUGGCAUUAGUUAGUUGGUGAGGUAACGGCUCACCAAGGCAAUGAUGCCUAGGGGUCCUGAGAGGGUUUUCCCCCACACUGGUACUGAGACACGGACCAGACUCCUACGGGAGGCAGCAGUAAGGAAUAUUGGGCAAUAGGCGCAAGCCUGACCCAGCCAUGCCGCGUGCAGGAUGACGGCCCUAUGGGUUGUAAACUGCUUUUGUAUGGGAAAAAACUCCCGCACGUGUGCGGGACUGAUUGUACCAUACGAAUAAGCAUCGGCUAACUCCGUGCCAGCAGCCGCGGUAAUACGGAGGAUGCAAGCGUUAUCCGGAUUCAUUGGGUUUAAAGGGUGCGCAGGCGGAUUAGUAAGUCAGUGGUGAAAGCUCCCGGCUCAACCGGGAAAAUGCCAUUGAUACUGUUAAUCUUGAGUACAGUUGAGGUAGGCGGAAUGUAUCAUGUAGCGCUGAAAUGCAUAGAUAUGAUACAGAACACCGAUAGCGAAGGCAGCUUACCAAACUGUAACUGACGCUCAUGCACGAAAGCGUGGGGAGCAAACAGGAUUAGAUACCCUGGUAGUCCACGCUGUAAACUAUGAUCACUCGCUGUUGGC
rnacentral:rRNA from 1 species